rnacentral:rRNA from 1 species
GACGAACGCUGGCGGCGUGCCUAAUACAUGCAAGUAGAACGCACAGUUUAUACCGUAGCUUGCUACACCAUAGACUGUGAGUUGCGAACGGGUGAGUAACGCGUAGGUAACCUGCCUAGUAGCGGGGGAUAACUAUUGGAAACGAUAGCUAAUACCGCAUAAUAUUAAUUAUUGCAUGAUAAUUAAUUGAAAGGUGCAAUUGCACCACUACCAGAUGGACCUGCGUUGUAUUAGCUAGUAGGUGAGGUAACGGCUCACCUAGGCGACGAUACAUAGCCGACCUGAGAGGGUGAUCGGCCACACUGGGACUGAGACACGGCCCAGACUCCUACGGGAGGCAGCAGUAGGGAAUCUUCGGCAAUGGACGAAAGUCUGACCGAGCAACGCCGCGUGAGUGAAGAAGGUUUUCGGAUCGUAAAGCUCUGUUGUAAGAGAAGAACGGGUGUGAGAGUGGAAAGUUCACACUGUGACGGUAUCUUACCAGAAAGGGGCGGCUAACUACGUG